AGCCCAGAGCCUGAAUCAGUGUGUGUGUUAGUGGAAGCGUCUGGAAAGGCGCGCGAUACAGGGUGACAGCCCCGUACACAAAAAUGCACAUACUGUGAGCUCGAUGAGUAGGGCGGGACACGUGGUAUCCUGUCUGAAUAUGGGGGGACCAUCCUCCAAGGCUAAAUACUCCUGACUGACCGAUAGUGAACCAGUACCGUGAGGGAAAGGCGAAAAGAACCCCGGCGAGGGGAGUGAAAAAGAACCUGAAACCGUGUACGUACAAGCAGUGGGAGC
rnacentral:rRNA from 1 species